rnacentral:rRNA from 1 species
AUGAACGCUGGCGGCGUGCCUAAUACAUGCAAGUCGAGCGAACAGACGAGGAGCUUGCUCCUCUGACGUUAGCGGCGGACGGGUGAGUAACACGUGGAUAACCUACCUAUAAGACUGGGAUAACUUCGGGAAACCGGAGCUAAUACCGGAUAAUAUAUUGAACCGCAUGGUUCAAUAGUGAAAGACGGUUUUGCUGUCACUUAUAGAUGGAUCCGCGCCGCAUUAGCUAGUUGGUAAGGUAACGGCUUACCAAGGCGACGAUGCGUAGCCGACCUGAGAGGGUGAUCGGCCACACUGGAACUGAGACACGGUCCAGACUCCUACGGGAGGCAGCAGUAGGGAAUCUUCCGCAAUGGGCGAAAGCCUGACGGAGCAACGCCGCGUGAGUGAUGAAGGUCUUCGGAUCGUAAAACUCUGUUAUUAGGGAAGAACAAAUGUGUAAGUAACUAUGCACGUCUUGACGGUACCUAAUCAGAAAGCCACGGCUAACUACGUGCCAGCAGCCGCGGUAAUACGUAGGUGGCAA